AAACCAACAGGGAUUGCCUUAGUAACGGCGAGUGAAGCGGCAAAAGCUCAAAUUUGAAAGCUAGCACCUUCGGUGUUCGCGUUGUAAUUUGAAGAUAGUUUCCUUGAGUAGUCCUUUAUCUAUGUUCCUUGGAACAGGACGUCAUAGAGGGUGAGAACCCCGUAUGAUUUUGGAUACUACUCUUUGUGGGAUUCUAUCGAAGAGUCGAGUUGUUUGGGAAUGCAGCUCUAAGUGGGUGUAAAUUCCAUCUAAAGCUAAAUAUUGGCGAGAGACCGAUAGCGAACAAGUACAGUGAUGGAAAGAUGAAAAGAACUCUGAAGAGAGAGUGAAAAAGUACGUGAAAUUGCUGAAAGGGAAGGGCUUGAGGUCAGACUUGGUGUUUAAUGAUUAUCAGUUCUUCUUGGACUGUGCACUCGUUUUUCACCGGGCCAAUAUCAGUUUUAGCGGUAGAGUACCCCUUGAAAUGUGGCUUCCUUCGGGGAGUGUUAUAGUCUUGGGGAGAUCUACUUGCUGGGACUGAGGACUGCGCUUCGGCAAGGAUAUUGGCGUAAUGACCUUAAGCCGC
rnacentral:rRNA from 1 species